AGACGUGUUUUGAUUUGUGUGUGUGCCUACAAAUUGUGUGUAGUCUACAAAUGGUUGGUGGUUUAAACAAUUAUCAAAACAUAAAAAAAAGUAAAAUAAAAAAACAUUUGUUUUUUCUAUUUUCAUAUCUCACUGUUAGCUACUCUUUCAAUAAAUAACAGUAUGCGAAUGAUAAUUACAAUGAUUGUUAAUAACAGGGAGGGAAACCCCUGUGUUUGAAUUACAUUUGGCUCAAAAACUGUUUAAUAAAGUUUAAUAAAGGCUUUAUCUCUCAAGUAACCAUUUAUGGGAAAAUACCGGAUAUAUAUCGUAUACCGUCAUUCCUUCUAAAAAUACAGAGAUACACUGUAAAAAAUCCAACUUGCAAAUUGCUAACUCAAAUCAAAAUUGUAAGUUGGGUGGACAUAUUUUGAGCCCAGUGUUGAGUUUACUUUUAAAAAUGAGUUAACUGAAGGUUUAAAACUGGUUUGUUCAAUGAAGUUGAGCAGACUUUACAUUUUGAGUUCUUCACUGGAUCAUCUACUUCCCGUCUUUGCACAUGCUCAGUCUGUCUUCGGGUGCCAUUUUGCACGAGGUGUCCUCUCACCAGCAGCAGCUGCCAUCUCCUGAUUCAGGUUUGGAAUGCAGUGUAAGUUUUGCAAAUUUGUAAACAGUAGCUGAGAAGUUACACUACAGACUACAUCGCUAUCAAGGACCAUCCUGGCAGCAGCCUUGUUUGUUCGCAGACUGCUUCUGCACUUUAAAGACUCUGAUGUCCGAAAACAGUGGCCUGCAUGUUUUUGGGAGUUUAGG